rnacentral:SRP_RNA from 1 species
GGUCGGGUCCUGUGCGACGGGUGCUCGUGAAUCGGGUCAGGGUCGGAAGGCAGCAGCCCUCAGCGGUACCACUCGUGUGCCGCAGAUCGCCUGGCCGUU